GUCUUGUCGGUGAUGCUUUAAAAAACAAAUGUCUGAACAAAUGAGAUCCUGUGAUUCUUACUUUAUUACUGAGACAAGAC